rnacentral:rRNA from 1 species
ACAGAUCUUGGUGGUAGUAGCAAAUAAUCGAAUGAGACCUUGGAGGACUGAAGUGGAGAAGGGUUUCGUGUGAACAGUGGUUGAUCACGAGUUAGUCGGUCCUAAGUUCUAGGCGAAAGCCGAAAAAUUAAAGUAUCAUAUCUUUGUUUAUUAAAUAGAGAAGCAGUACUUUUAAUUGAACGAAAGGGAAUACGGUUCCAAUUCCGUAACCUGUUGAGUAUACGUUUGUUAUUAAAAAUGGGCUUUAUGCUCAUCCUGGCAACAGAAACAACCAUAAAGAAGCCGUCGAGAGGUAUCGGAAGAGUUUUCUUUUCUGUUUUAUAGUCGUACCACCAUGGAAGUCUUUCGAAGAGAGAUAUGGUGGAUGGACUAGAAGAGCAUGGCAUUUACUGCUGUGUCGAUAUUUUCUCCUCGGACCUUGAAAAUUUAUGGUGGGGUCACGCAAACUUCUCAACAGGCCGUACCGAUAUCCGCAGCUGGUCUCCAAGGUGAAGAAUCUCUAGUCGAUAGAAUAAUGUAGGUAAGGGAAGUCGGCAAAUUAGAUCCGUAACUUCGGGAUAAGGAUUGGCUCUGAAGAUUGAGAUAGUCGGGCUUGAUUGGGAAGCAAUAAAAUAGUUUAUAUACUCGUUCUGGGUAAAUAAGGAUAUGUACAAUUUUAACCGAUUGUGCUAUUCUGUUCCCCGGAUAGUUAGUUUAUGUAAACGAAUUGCGGAACUUUCUUGCUAAUAAUUUGUAAAUUUUUAAUUUACAUUUUUAUAACGACUAUCAAUUAACAAUCAAUUCAGAACUGGCACGGACUUGGGGAAUCCGACUGUCUAAUUAAAACAAAGCAUUGUGAUGGCCCUAACGGGUGUUGACACAAUGUGAUUUCUGCCCAGUGCUCUGAAUGUCAAAGUGAAAAAAUUCAAGUAAGCGCGGGUAAACGGCGGGAGUAACUAUGACUCUCUUAAGGUAGCCAAAUGCCUCGUCAUCUAAUUAGUGACGCCCAUGAAUGGAUGGACGAGA